CUACGGGUCGCUCCAGUGGGGAAUUUUGGACAAUGGAGGAAACUCUGAUCCAGGGAUACCGCGUGGGUGAUGAAGAUUUACGGAUUGUAAAGCCCUUUUAGUAGGGAAAAUAAUGAUGGUACCUACAGAAAAAGCAUCAGCUAACUCUGUGCCAGCAGCUGCGGUAAUACAGAGGAUGCGAGUGUUAUUCGGAAUCACUGGGCGUAAAGGGCGCGUAGGCGGUUAUUUAAGUCCGCAAUGAAAUACCGGGGCUCAACUUCGGUGCUGUUGUGGAUACUGUUUAACUAGAGAACGGAAGAGGUGAAUAGAAUUCCUGGUGGAGAGGUGAAAUUCUUAGAUAUCAGGAGGAAUGCCAGAGGCGAAAGCGGUUCACUGGGACGUUUCUGACGCUGAGGCGCGAAAGCGUGGGGAUCAAACAGGAUUAGAUACCCCAGUAGUC
rnacentral:rRNA from 1 species